CCUAACACAUGCAAGUCGAACGGUAACAGGAAACAGCUUGCUGUUUCGCUGACGAGUGGCGGACGGGUGAGUAAUGUCUGGGAAACUGCCUGAUGGAGGGGGAUAACUACUGGAAACGGUAGCUAAUACCGCAUAACGUCGCAAGACCAAAGAGGGGGACCUUCGGGCCUCUUGCCAUCAGAUGUGCCCAGAUGGGAUUAGCUAGUAGGUGGGGUAACGGCUCACCUAGGCGACGAUCCCUAGCUGGUCUGAGAGGAUGACCAGCCACACUGGAACUGAGACACGGCCCAGACUCCUACGGGAGGCAGCAGUGGGGAAUAUUGCACAAUGGGCGCAAGCCUGAUGCAGCCAUGCCGCGUGUAUGAAGAAGGCCUUCGGGUUGUAAAGUACUUUCAGCGGGGAGGAAGGGAGUAAAGUUAAUACCUUUGCUCAUUGACGUUACCCG
rnacentral:rRNA from 1 species